CUACGGGGCGCUGCAGUGGGGAAUAUUGGGCAAUGGGCGCAAACCUGACCCAGCAACGCCGCGUGAGGGAAGAAGGUUUUCGGAUUGUAAACCUCUGUCCUUGGGGACGAAGAAGUGACGGUACCCAAGGAGGAAGCUCCGGCUAACUACGUGCCAGCAGCCGCGGUAAUACGUAGGGAGCAAGCGUUGUCCGGAAUUACUGGGCGUAAAGGGUGCGGAGGCGGCAUAUUAAGUCAGGUGUGAAAUACUCGGGCUCAACCCGGGGGCUGCAUUUGAAACUGAGAUGCUUGAGUGUGAGAGAGGAAAGUGGAAUUCCUAGUGUAGCGGUGGAAUGCGUAGAUAUUAGGAGGAACACCAGUGGCGAAGGCGACUUUCUGGCUCAUAACUGACGCUGAGGCACGAAAGCGUGGGGAGCAAACAGGAUUAGAUACCCGAGUAGUC
rnacentral:rRNA from 1 species